CUCAGGUGUAAGCAAUGCAUCUGAGUGAUUGGAAGGGCUGCAGCCAGGAUCCACCCCUUCCAGCCCUCAUUUAAGGGCUGGCAGUGGAGGUGUGGGCAUCUCUCUUUAGAGGUCCUUGCUUAUCUGGGUCUUCUGAAGGCUGAGCCAGCUCAUCCCGCUCGAAACUCCGACUAAAAACAUCAUCUAAAAACAGCUCCUCGUGCUGGUGCCCAGAGGGGAGGAGCAGAACCCAGCGGGCACAGACGGAGCUUCAAUAAAUAGCGGAGCCUACAGGACCGGGAGGGGAUGGGAAGGAUGUCACAAU
ensembl:lncRNA